AACGAACGCUGGCGGCAGGCCUAACACAUGCAAGUCGAGCGCUCUCUUCGGAGGGAGCGGCGGACGGGUGAGUAACGCGUGGGAACGUACCCUUUUCUACGGAAUAGCCUCGGGAAACUGAGAGUAAUACCGUAUACGCCCUUCGGGGGAAAGAUUUAUCGGAGAAGGAUCGGCCCGCGUUGGAUUAGGUAGUUGGUGGGGUAAUGGCCUACCAAGCCGACGAUCCAUAGCUGGUUUGAGAGGAUGAUCAGCCACACUGGGACUGAGACACGGCCCAGACUCCU
rnacentral:rRNA from 1 species